CCGCAACCCAAAGAGGAAGGAGUCCUGCAGAGCCCAAGCCAGACUAUUUCCUGAGAACCUCUGUUCUUACCUAUUGCUUUAAGCAGAUUAAAAAGGAGCCUGCAGGAAGGAUGGAAUCACUGGAGUUCUCGGCAAGUGACGAGGACAAAGGCAUAAUCUCGGGAGUCUACAAGUGUGAGCCAGUCUGGAGUGACUCACUGACAGGACCCUCGACUGUUGGGAAGAUCCCAGGCUCGUGGGGACCCACGGCGCUGCUGGGAUGCGGAUACGCCACGAAUCAUUUGACACACCAGCCGGGCUUCUAGCCGAGCUGAUUGCUUGGAUAUCCUCACAAUAUGGCGACUGGCUUUCCAAGAAGCAAGAGACCUAGCAAGAGGAGAAAGGGAAGCCACAGUGUGUUAUACUUCUGGUCAAAACAGGAUAAAAAUCCAAGCUCCCACCGAUGGAUGGGUGGAGACAUAAAUAGUGGUACACCCAUAAACUGUGAGACAUUAUUUGGCGUCCCACAGUUUGGAGUAAAA